AUUGAACGCUGGCGGCAUGCCUUACACAUGCAAGUCGAACGGCAGCACGGGUGCUUGCACCUGGUGGCGAGUGGCGAACGGGUGAGUAAUACAUCGGAACAUGUCCUGUAGUGGGGGAUAGCCCGGCGAAAGCCGGAUUAAUACCGCAUACGAUCUACGGAUGACAGCGGGGGACCUUCGGGCCUCGCGCUAUGGGGUUGGCCGAUGGCUGAUUAGCUAGUUGGUGGGGUAAAGGCCUACCAAGGCGACGAUCAGUAGCUGGUCUGAGAGGACGACCAGCCACACUGGGACUGAGACACGGCCCAGAGUCCUACGGGAGGCAGCAGUGGGGAAUUUUGGACAAUGGGCGAAAGCCUGAUCCAGCAAUGCCGCGUGUGUGAAGAAGGCCUUCGGGUUGUAAAGCACUUUUGUCCGGAAAGAAAUCCUUGGCCCUAAUACGGUCGGGGGAUGACGGUACCGGAAGAAUAAGCACCGGCUAACUACGUG
rnacentral:rRNA from 1 species